AAACUUUUAAAAUGUUAAUUGCGGAUAAAUAGAGAUUUGGCGAUCUGUAUGAAUAACCAUGAGACUCGCUGUAGAUCGACACAAAUUACAUCGACCAUUGUAUUGGUCUUCUUUAGUAAGCCAGCCUUUGAAUUUCUCAUCCUGCGUCCAUUCGUCCUUGUAAACACACCAUCGUUUUAUUUUCUUCGGCGGUGUACAUGAAUAGCUGCUGGUCAGCUCUUGUUCGUUGUCACUAUUUGAAUUACUGCUUUCCAUCUUGACUGAACGAGGGGAUAACAAAAAAUUGUGGAAAACAAAGUCACGCUCAAUACAACUAAACACGUCCGAACAUGCCAAACGCUUUGAAGAGGCUGACGUCAGCGUCAGACGGGUCUAAAUAGUAGUGGGGAGGUGGGAGGAAUGUACGUUGGAACGACGUUCAGCGGAUUUACACGAUGUUAAUUUGAAUAAAAAUAAAUGGAAUAUUUUUCUCAAAAUUUCCGGGACAAUUUAGCAUUCAUCCGGGAUACGGGACAGCGAUUCCAAUUCCGGGACAAUCCCGGCCAAUCCGGGACGGUUGGCAACCCUACUUACACCUACUUCUUGUUUUACUUUCUCCCAAAUGUUUUGCUUCUUCACGUUAUAUUUAUAAUCCAAUCUCUGCAUAUCAUAAAUUUCGGUAAUUUUGAAUGUUUAACAAAAAAUUUUUCGAUUCGCUUUUCGUUAAGCUGAUCCUCCGUCUUGGACUGCGACAGAGUUUCCAAUUAGAAGAAAUUUUAAUCUUAACGUUUGACGCUGGCGCCACGCUGCGCUAAGUUUGACGUUGAUAGAAUUUUGACUAUAAAUCAUGAACGUUAACAUCGAACGUCCAACGACUGCUAGCGACCUUGAAACGGCACGCUGAACGGUUGAAAAAAAACAACGCCUUUCUCCUGUAUUAUGGUUAAAAGAAAUUUCCUGAUUUCAACUUGGGCUAUCUUAAACAUUUAUAAGCCGCAAUAUUCUCCCUACAAUUCCUACCUAUUUGUUUUGGUUACUGAUAUCCUCUACUAUUAAUACUAUUAUCCUCUACUAUCUUAUAAACUAUUUGUCGUUGUUAAUCUGCCAUGAAGUACGUUCGCAUCUUGCUUUAACCCCCUUGUUUUUAAACGGGAGCAGAUACGAAUGAGCUUGCUUUGCUCGUACCACUUUUAUUUAUUUGUUUCAUCAUAUCUAUUUUUCGUCGUGCAAUUUCAUAUUCUUCUAUAAUUUGUAAUAAUCAUAACUCUGUACAAUAUUAUUUCAAUUCGCGGCAUCUCAUGCUUCUUAGGACUAAGCCAAACAUUAUAGAUAUAUUUAAAGAUUUAAAUCAUCUUUUUCUUUUCUACUCUCCUUCCUUUCUUUGGAUUAUGAACAGAGAAAUCGCCGCGUUCCCCCUGAGGCGAAACACAACGUCCGCCAUGUGCGGUGCUUUUCUUCUGCCCGUUUUUACGCGGAGGUGGUCUUUUGAGAAGUGCCCAUUAG
rnacentral:lncRNA from 1 species